rnacentral:rRNA from 1 species
CUACACCUGGUUUUAGGAAAAAAUGUUUCCUACAGAUGUGUACAUAUUUCAAAUCUUAAUGAUCCUUGUUAUGUUCCUCCCUAUGUAAGUAAAUAUAUUUCAAGUCUUGAUGAUUCUUAUUACGUUUUUUCAGGUGGUGCACUGUAAGAUCCUAAAACUGAGGACCUCAUUCAAUAAGUCAGAGCUAAAUGCUGAGAUAAUGUCCUUCAGGGAUUAUCCAUUGUCAUCAACAGUACUGGAUACAGUCAAAGCUUGACGAUUUAAUCAAAGGUGAAAUCAUAGUUAAUCAGUGAAGGGUGCAGCCUGGCAAGUCAUUAAUGGCUUUGCACGAUGCUUUGAUUAAUAUCGGGGAUUUUGAUCUCUAUUUCCUAAUUUAUGUUCUUCAUCCGAGUGGAUCCAACUUCGCUGACACACUCAUCGAUGCAUCCACAUUCUGCACGAAAAUCAUAGUUGUGAUCAGCCUUCUAUGUUUGUAUGACCUGGCUAUUGUUCAGUACUUAACCUUGCUGCAUACUUGUUUUCUUGCCGGUGACUGAUCUAAUUGCAAAUAUUGACACAUUGGUGAACUUAUGUGACGGUAUUUCAAUCAUAAUACAUUGCUGUUGGUGGUUGUACAUUCCAAGAUAUUCUAAUUGAUAUUACUGCUGUUGUUAUCCAUUAUUUCAUAGAAUUCACCAAGUGCAUAAAUAAACGGGUGCUCCUAAAAUGCAUUUAUUAGGUAGUAAUUAAGUUUGUAUACUUACUCUCUGUAGAUUAAAUGAUUAAUUUGGAGGGGUGGGUGGGCAUUAUAUGUGUGGCUGAUAUCAUUCCUAACUAAGAUCCAUAUGAUUCUUGACUGAUGUUUCUUUAUCUGCAAAGAUGAAACCGGUCCUUAGUUGAGACCUAGUACAAUUUUACGGGAAUAGUAUUUUCAGAUCUCAAAGAUUCUGAAAAUAUUUAUAUGUGUACAUAUAAUUAUGCACAUAGAUGUGGCUUUUCAUCAAUAUAUCUUCUCAUCCAUGGUGUAUACAAAAAGACAAUACAUUGGUAACAAAAUUCAAAAUAGUCAACUUUUGCUUUAUUUUAAACCACAUGCUUGUCUUUUUUGGCAUACAAAUCAACAAAUGAUUUAUUAAAAUUCUACAUGUAUGCAGGAAACGUCUAUGUGUGCUAUAGAUAUUUUUUUUGGAAGUUUUGAAACUUUUUAUCAUUUUCUAUUUUUGAAAACACCGGGCUUCAAGUGACCCAGGAGCUAACAUUGUCUCAUUCGUCUUUAAAAUUAGAAUUUGUGUUAGAUCCUUGGUUCUUCUCAAAAAGUUGUUCUGCAUGUAUUAAGAAGUCACGGUAUAAUACAAAAAUAAUCCUGAUGUUUAUACUGGUCAUUCAUUCUUACUGCAUGGAUUGUAUACGUUCCUAGAUGUUAUGAUCUGCACAAGAUGUUUUACCAACACCAACUAUUAUUCAUGUAGAAUCUGUCAAUUUGUUGCAGCUAAUGUGUAGAUUUCUGCUUUUCAUUCUAAUACCUGUCGAAAUUGUUAUUGUCUUUUCAUUUACCAUUUGGUGGCUGUAAUUAUGGCAAAUCAUCUAAAAUGCUGAUUUUUGGUGUUGCUCAUUCAACAGAUGGAGUGACCAAUCGUCUUAAAUCUUUGUCAAUCACUCUCGAGGUCGAUAGAUCAGAUAUGAUCUACAGUGCCAAGGAUAAGAUUCAAGACAAUGAGCAUAUCCCUUCAUGCCAGUAGGGAUACAUAUUUGGAUAUAGGAUGCUGGAGGGCUGCAGCACCGUGAAGGACAACAUUAUUCUGCAUCCUCCAAGGUAUGCAUAUUAAUGUUAGCGCCAAGACGCCAGGUGGCAAUAUUGUGACGCUAGGUUGAGAGCUCAGAUACUAUGAAAAAUGUGAAGAAGAUUUUCAAUGCAACAUGUCUUCAACAAGAUAUGCAACAAGUCGGCAUUCUGAAUAAGGGCUUGUUUGUUUGCUCGGGAUCCCUGCCCUUUCCCUGGGGUCAGAAGCCCGCGUAUGGAUUUAACCCUGGGAACCUACCGGUGUAUUUUGGACGCCAUCUCAGCAGGAGCAUGCCGCCCAAUCUAUGUGGCUUCUGCACCGUUUCCACCCUCCAUGGGGCUCCGCUGCCACCUUGCGAUGCCUCCGCUGCCCAUCUAGACUGCUAGGAUUUGAUCUCUGAUCCUUCUUUGCACAACUGAAUGUCCUUUGGCUCCUUCAACUAGCGCUUACUACUCUUUACUUCAGGAAUCAUUACUGUUCGUUUAUGGACAUUGGUUGUUAGCUUUUUGCACAAUUCAUUGAGAUUAUUAUGACCCAGGCAAUCUGAAUUUCUGAAAAGAAAAACCAUUGACGGCCAAAUUGCUUGCGGUUCUGGAUCCCUAGCUCACGAUUGACGACGGCGGCGAUUAGUCCUUUCUCCAGUUAACGUUGCAGCUGCCACGUGCAAGCUCUUUAUCCUGUGCCUAGAGGAAAUGGUGCCGCACCCUAUCCACCACUAUGAGGAUGGGGAGAGCGAAGGUGGGCAUGGCGCUUAACACUGACCAGAUGAGCACCCUAUGGCCGCCAAGGGAGAGUAGCCUUCCCUUCCAGCCCGUCAGUCCAGACUUUAUGCAAUCAAUAAAGAAUUGCAAGUGCACCAUUCGGAUACGCGAUAGCGUGAUCGGCGAACCUAGGUAGGUCAUGGGUAAUGUAGAUCGCCACCCCCAAACUCAGCAAGCACCUUGUCUAGGUUGAUAUCAUCACAGCGGAUGGGGGCCACCGUCGAUUUUUGUAGGUUGAUGUGCAGCCCUGUUGCCCGCCUGCCAGAAUGUAGGAUUGACAAUGGCAAACUGAUCUCGAAUCUCUUGGGAUUUGUGAAGAUAACGGCGUUGUUGGCAUAGAGGCUCACGCACAGCUUGACCGUCUUGUCCGUCAGCGAUGGCCAAGAUAAUCCCGUGUAACGGGUCGAUUGUGGGGAUAAAUAGGAAAAGGCGACACAGGUCGUCCUGUUGCAUUCCACACUUAUGGAACAUCUUCUUGGCUGCGAUCCCAUUGAGCAAGAACGUUGAGGAAGAGGUUGACAGGGGCAACUAACAUGAUUAAUAAGGAGGUACACCAUUCAAACGCACACAUGAUCAUGCCGGCGAGCACAACCAAUAACCCAAGGGAGUCGCUGUCGAUCACUGAACCACAAAAUCCUACAUAAUAUAACUACUCCUAACUCAAACCGGCUGAAGGCUGACCGCUGUUGAAACUAAUGGGGUGAGCUAACAUGAUUAACUACUUGGCCACCGGGCCCUCAUCUUCGACAGCCUCGAGGGGAUCAAGGACAAGGUAACCGCCUCUCGCACAGAUUCAUGGAUCUCGGCCGCCGGUGAUCGUGCGAUGUGUUUGCUUGCUCCCUGCUGUGUUUUGCGCGAUUUGACGGGUUCCUUCCCUGUUCGAUUUCUGGUCGCCUUUGGGCGCUGCUCUGUGCAGGUCUACCUCGAGGGGACUCACAUCGUCAUCCUUUGGUUCGAGAGGCGGUCAUCUACGACGUUCGCGCACGACCCAACCUCAUGGAGAGCACUUCCGGGGAAGAUGUCAUCUCCAUAUGGUGAGAAUUGGUCUUCGUGUUCUUAGUUUCUUACACAACCCAUGCCAGAGACUACCAACCAUGUAGAGGACCGUGGGGGAUAACUAUAAUGAUAGAGUGUUGCCUUCAAUCAUUCAUGAAACACUCAAAGCUGUGGUUGCCCAAUACAGUGCCAGUCAGCUAAUCACACAGAGAGAGGUUGCUGCACAGGAAGCUGAGUGUGCCAAAUUCAUUUGUUAGAAGGCUGAGCAGGACAAGAAAAGUGCAAUUAUCAGGGCACAGGGAACAAGUGCAGGCCAGGAAGACAAGUAGACAACAACGACACUCUAUAGUUAGGCAUCCAGGCUCCAGAUUAACUAAAUGGAGGGCUGUGCCUGCAUCGAGCAGUUCCGGCGAACUGACGAGCUCCUCAUCAAGUACCAGUACAUCUCGGACUUCUUCAUAGCCCUCGCCUACUUCUCCAUCCCACUCGAGCUGAUCUACUUCGCCAAGUCGGCAUCCUUCCCCUACAGAUGGGUGCUCCUCCAGUUCAGCGCCUUCAUAGUCCUCUGUGGGGCCACCCACCUCAUAAACCUCUGGACCUUCACCAAGCACACCAGGACCGUCGACAUCGUCAUGACGGUAACCAAGGUCACCACGGCCGUCGUGUCCUGCGCGACGGCCCUCACGCUCAUCCAUAUCAUACCUGAUUUGUUGGGUGUCAAGACGAGGGAGUUGUUCCUCAAGAAGGCCGACAAGCUCGACAGGGAGUUGAGCCUCAUGCGAUCGCAGGAGGAGACCGGGAGGCAUGUCAGGAUGCUCAUCCAUGAGAUCAGGAGCACGCUUGACAGGCACACCAUCCUCAAGACUACUCUGGUUGAGCUCGGGAGGACGCUGGGUCUGCAGGAAUGUGCUUUCUGGAUGCCGUCGAGGAGCGGUUCGAGCCUUGAGCUAACUCAUACCAUGCGCCACCACAUCCCCACGGGCUCUUCUGUGGAGAUUAAUCUCCCUGUUGUCAACCAAGUCUUCAGUACCAACCGGGCUAUUAUAGUGCCACAUACAUCUCCUUUUGCGAGGAUCCACCCUGUUCAAGGGCGGCAUGUCCCACCCGAGGUGGCUGCUGUGAGAGUCCCGUUGCUGCAUCUUCCAAACUUUCAUCCUGAGCUUUUGGCAAAAAGCUACGCAAUUAUGGUUUUGAUGCUCCCAUCUGAUAGUGCAAGGAAGUGGCUUGCUCAUGAACUCGAGCUCAUCGAGGUUGUCGCCGAUCAGGUAGCUGUUGCCCUCUCAUGCGGCAAUUCUUGAAGAAUCAAUGUGAGCACGUGAUCUACUGACGGAGCAAAAUGUCGCCCUGGAUUUAGCUCUGCGAGAGGCUGAAAUGGCAAUACAUGCUCGCGAUGUCAACAGGGUGGGGGUUGAACUUGUGGGGCCUGAGGACGCAGACAACCUCGCUACCAUCGACUCAUCUGCUUCUGCAGCCAAGGUGCACAACGCCAAGCCAUGAUCGACGAGUCUGCCCCAACUUCGCCCGACACCGAUGCGUCACUUCUACCCACCAAGAAGUACUCCUUGAUCCAAAUCCUACUCUCUAUUUGCCUUUGCUUGCACCCUAUAGGUGCCCCAAAGUCCCAAACUGUUUCCUUUGCUGCUGCUGCGACAGCACUAUCUAUCUGAACCUAUGUAGUUUAAAUUUGGCCCUGCUGUGUGCAAUCUAUCUGGAUUUGUGCUAAGUUAUGCUAUUUGUCUAGAAACGUGUGCUUAAUUACCUUGUGGUGCAUCUCGGUGCCGAUGGCGAACACAAUGCUAUCUUGAUCUCUUGGUAUGUUCGUGAAAACUGCAAACAGCAAGAAAUAGCUAGCUAUACACUCC